UCCAUCCGCAUCACACUGGGCUGUUUUCAAACAGAGGUGUUAGUAGGUGGAGGAGGAAAGGAGUUUACGCGUGAGGUUAUGGGGCCAUUGUACCCUCUCGGGUCACUCAGUCUGCCUGUCCCUGUGCAGCCCCAGCUUGUGGCUGACACAGGCAGGCACCUCGGAAGGAAAGCGAGUGGGUGCCCAUGCGUUGGAUGAGCUCACUGGUGUUGCACAAGGUGUGGCUGGCAGGGCUGGGUGCGGAGAGGGGCUCUUACAGCCCCCAAGUUUCGGUGCCAUGCCCGUAGGCUGGUGCUGAGGCUGCUCAUGGAGCUGCGCAGCACUGGUGCAAAGCUGGGUUAUGUGUCCAGGAAUGAUGGCUUGGGAUGGGGAGCAGUUUGCUUACCCUGCUGCUGAGCAGGAUGGGCUGUCGGGAUUAGGUAUCAGGAGCUGUGGUCAGCUGGCUGGAAAGGCUCGUGCGGGUCAUGCAGGAGGUGGUGCAGGAUGAACCAAGCAGCUCAUUAUCCUCUCCUUUUGUAAUGAAGCUCUACCAGUGGUCAAGCAGAGCUGCUGCUGCCAUGUGUGCGCACUGAGCCGGUGGAGAGCCCGUGGAGCAUCCCGACCUGCAGCUCCUCAGCCGGGGAGCUGUGCCAUCGCUGUGCCAGCUCAGCCUGCCGCAGCAAGGGGUCUGGAGAGAGCAGGCAGUGCAUCCCACGAGCCUGACCAGGGAUCCUGGCAUCUACGUGUGGCUCUGCAGCUGCCAGAGAUGGUUUCCCUCUCUACCUGCAAGCAGGCAGUGAUUGCCACCUAACCCUGUGGCUUGGCAAGAACAUGAUCGAACAGACCCGUAAGUGCAUCACACUGUGACUGAGGGAAGCUGGUGGGGUAUGCCCUGUCACCCUGAGUCCUGCCCUCACCCUGUACAGGGCCAUAACCUUUGCUGGCAUUCCUGAACGCCCAAGGCCAGGGCUUUGUGUGGAACCUGCUCCCCUCCUGGCUGCUGUUCUUCACCAGGAGGUGGCAGUUGGAGGAUGCAGCAACUUAGACACCCCUGUGUCCAUCCCUUGGACCCCAGCACUACCCUCUGCCAGGGUCCCUGUCCCUGCCAGCAGCAGGAGGGCAUACCCCAAGCAUGUGGGGAGCUGCGCUGGGAGCAGCCAUGUGGGGCUGGGGCACAGGCAGCGUGCAUCCAUCGCGUGAGGAGCGAUGUCUGCUCGAGCUCCUCCGCUUUCUCUCCUAGGAACCAGUUGAACGAGCGGGCGAGGAGCGGUGCCCAACCUCGCUGCAGUGCAGGGGUUGAGGUGGCUGUGUCACUGGGAGAAGAGGGGACAAGCAGGACGUGCCAGGCUCCAGCGGCUCCCAGCCUGGACAAGCCGUGAGCAGCUCCUGUGGCGCAGCACCGGGUGCCAGGACAUGGACCAGCAGGUGGGGCAAGAGCCCAUGAAGGUGCUCGGAGUGAUCUUGGGUGUCGGGCUGGCCUUGCUGAUCCUGGUGGGCUUUGGCUACAACUUCAUCCGGUGGUACCAGAGGGGCCAGUGCUGGUGCCGUGAGUAUGGGCAGUGUGGGGCUGGGAUGUGGGAAGCAUCCCUGACAUUGGCUGGUCCCUGGGGAAGCCCACAUGCAGGGUGGCUCUGGGGCAAGCUGGGGGCACACAGAGACUGAGGAGGGGGUGCACAGUGGUGUCCUGGUGCUGCCGGCUACCCCAGGGGCUGUCCUGCCCUUUCCCAUCCUGCUGCACAGAUCCGUGGCAAAGCAAAGGCUCUGACACUUCUCCUCCUCACCUCCCCAGGGCCUGACUUCAUUUUCAACCUCUACCACACCUGUGGGUCGGUGGCGGUGGAGCUGGUGCCCCCAUUCAGCAUCAGCGGCUCGCUCAGCGAGGCAGGGAGCAGCUACGCGCCUUUCCACAACCAGGGACCAUGAGCAGGGGCCGGGAUGUGCAGGUAGGGUGUUCCCUGCUCCUCCCCGACUGGUGGUGGUGAGGGGGUCCCUGGAGUUAUGUGCCCGGGAGAAGCUGGUAUUUGGGGUGGCUGGAGCAGUGGGUCUGUGCCCCAGAGCAUCCGUGCCUCCUCGGAGCUCUUGGUCAUCGCAGCUUUCCCUGGGAUAAUCCCAAGGCUUUUCCUGUGCAAGUCCUCUUCACGCCUGUGGGGCAUCAGGGGCUUUCCCUGAGCUCUGGUUCUGUGUGGGUGUCCCAGCGCAGGCUUUGGUUUGCAUUUCCUUCCCCAUGCCCUCUGUCCUCAGCCUGGGAUGGGACACGAGGCUGGGAGCGAUGGCUGCGUAGAGGCUGUGUGCUCACUGUGCAGCUUCCCCAUGCUGCCUCACGGCCACCUCCCAGCACCCACAGAAAGAGCAACCAAAAUCAGCUUAGGGGAAUUCCUGUGUUCUUUCUUCUUUAAAACACAGCCCCUCAAUGUGCUGGGUUUCCACUGAAACCACCGGUGCAGUUUCUGUGUUUUACAAGAGCUUCUCCAUCUGCUUCCCACAGCUGCAUUCCCCUUUUGGCCCUCCUUGAGCAUGGGAAGGUGCCCGGGGCCGGCUGCCAUCCCCAUGCACUGCCACAGCCUCCCCUUGCUUGGGCUGGAGGAAGAGGGAGCUGCCUUAUCCCAGGCUUCCUCACUGUGCAUCCCAUGACCCAGAGACACCCCAUCCCUCAGGACCAGCCAGCCCCAUGUCCAGGAGACCUUGGGCCAAGGCUGUUGGUGAACAGGGCUGUGUGAGAUUUGGGGAACCAGCUAAAAAGGGUGGUAAUGAGCCACAGAACUGGAUGGCUGCUUUUGUGCAAUAGAGGAAAAUCUCAUAAGGAAAUGAGACUGCUUCAGACUUCCCUCCUCAGUGAAAUAUUGGUACCAGUGUGGAAAUUUGUCUCCUGCACUGACAGUGCAAACACCUCAGAAAGCCCCUGUGGGCCCACAAGUGCUGGCAAGGAACAGGGGCUUUAGGGCUGUUUCUUCAUAAACUGCUUUCUCAGAAGGAAAAUGAAGAGAAACCUGGGAGACAGCGUUGCUGCGUGUAGAGAAACUGGUGAGGAUGGAGCAGAGCGCCCCAUCCU